CCAAUCAGGGGUGAGAUCGAAAGGGAUGUGGGUGGGGCUCUUCCCUUCGGCGGAGCCAAUCCUGAGGCGGCCCGCGGGACAAGGCCCACAGGCUGCACGUGAGGCUUCUACACCAGGGAGGGGGCGCUCCGAGGGCCUGGACUACAGGAGGCGCUCAGUACGUGUUUGAGUGCCCAAGAGAAAGAGCAGUUUAGCAGUGUCCCAGCUGUCCAUUCCACUUGAAGAGUUGGUCUUUGCUUUUGCCAAACUAAGAACACCAUGCAAGUAUUGAGAAGAGAUUCCUCAAAACAAAAGAGCAGUCUUCAUUCAAAAAAUAAAUCAGAACCCGGAUCAGAAGGCUCAGUUGGUUGGCGUGUUGCCUGUACACCAAAAGGUGGAAAUCUUAGGGAAGUUCUCAGGGGAGGAUCUUAAUAGAAGUCAUCAGCUCUCCAGGUGUGCUCUUUCAAGGUCAUGAUCGCCGCUGAUUGGUCUGUACCAGGGCAGGGGGUCAUUAGUCAAUGUAGCUGGU